CUUUUUUUUAUAUGCAAAUUUAAGUUUGAAAAAAUAUAUUUUAAAAAAAUAAUAAUUUUUAGUAUUCGCAGUAAGAAAUUUUAUAAAUUAAGGUAAUUUAGAUUUAGAAAUAGAAUUUAACUUUAACAAAAUUUGUGCCAGCAGUUGCGGUUAUACAAGUAAAGUAACUUAAUUUCUUUAAAAUGGAUAAAUUUUAAUAUAAAUAUAAUUUUAAAUUUAAAUAUAUUAAGUGAAAUUUUAUAUUUAAUAAAAAAUUGUUUAUAUUUAAUGAUUCUUGAAAUUUGUUAGAUAGACUAGGAUUAGAUACCCUAUUAUUAAAAAUGUAAGAUUAAAUUUUAAAUUAUUAAUAGAUAUGUUCUUUAAAGUUAAAGAAUUUGGCGGUAUUUUAGUCUUUUCAGAGGAACCUGUUUCGUAAUUGAUAAUCCACGAUUAAUUGAACUUAAAUUAUUAAUUUGUAUAUCGUCGUAGUUUGAAUAUUUUAUUAGAAUUUUAAUAUUCAAUAUAUUAUAUUAGAUAUGAAAUCAGAUCAAGGUGCAGUUUAUAUUUAAGUGAUAAUGGGUUACAUUAAAAAUAUUUUUGGAUUUUAUAUUGAAAUAUAUUUAUAAAAAUGGAUUUGAUAGUAAUUUGAACUAAUUAGUUUAAAUGAUUUUAGCUCUAAAAUAUGUACAUAUCGCCCGUCGCUUUCUUUACAAAGAGAAAUAAGUCGUAACAAAGUAGGUUUACUGGAAAGUGCAUCUAGAUAGC
rnacentral:ncRNA from 1 species